rnacentral:rRNA from 1 species
UACGAAGGGGGCUAGCGUUGCUCGGAAUGACUGGGCGUAAAGGGCGCGUAGGCGGAUGGCACAGUCAGAUGUGAAAUUCCCGGGCUUAAUCUGGGGGCUGCAUUUGAUACGUGUUGUCUUGAGUUCGGAAGAGGGUCGUGGAAUUCCCAGUGUAGAGGUGAAAUUCGUAGAUAUUGGGAAGAAACACCGGUGGCGAAGGCGGCGACCUGGUCCGACACUGACGCUGAGGCGCGAAAGCGUGGGGAGCAAACAGG